rnacentral:piRNA from 1 species
UGGGGACCCAUUUUAACCACGUUCUUUAAG